rnacentral:rRNA from 1 species
UACGUAGGGGCCGAGCGUUGUCCGGAGUUAUUGGGCGUAAAGCGCGCGCAGGCGGCUUCGCGCGCCCGACGUGAAAGCCCCCGGCUUAACCGGGGAGAGUCGUUGGGGACGGCGGAGCUUGAGGGCGGGAGAGGUCGGUGGAAUUCCCGGUGUAGUGGUGAAAUGCGAAGAGAUCGGGAGGAACACCUGUGGCGAAGGCGGCCGACUGGGCCGACCCUGACGCUGAGGCGCGAAGGCGUGGGGAGCGAACGGG